ACCUGGCUGGCUCAGUCGGUGGAGUGUGUGACUCUUAAUGUCAAGGUCGUGAGUUCGAGCUCCACGCUGGGUA
rnacentral:tRNA from 1 species